GGCUGCAACAACGAAUCGAUAAAUUCGAUGAAAAUCGAUUACUAAAAGCGUUGGCAACGAAUUGCGUCAUCGAUUCGUUGUGUCGCACAACUCUUCCAAAAGCGCCCCCCCUUCCCGCCCGCCGUUGCGCGCAGACCAGAGCAAGUCAGAUCAGCGCGAGGGAGAGCCGCAGAUCAGCGCGAGGGAGAGCCGCAGAUCAGGGCGAGGGAGAGCCGCAGAUCAGCGUGAGGGAGAGCCCGUACCGGCAGAUCAGCGCGAGGGAAAGCCGGCAGACUUGCGCUGCUGCGAACCGGUUCCGCAUUGUUGCACAGCGAUCCAGGCAGCUGCUUCCAGCGCACGGUCCAUUCUCAAAGUGGCGCAACCAAAAAACUAUAAUUAGCACACGAUCGUUCAUGUCCACACAUGUUCUCUAUUUUCUGUCUUAUUUGUGCCUGAAGCGCGCUACUGCGGAGCUCAUCACCUGUGCUGUGGUGAUGUCACCUCACGCAGCAUCGAAAACGCACUCUGAGCUUUUCGGUCAGGAGAUCCCUUUGAUCUGCUCAAAAGUAACUGAUGAGGUGAAAAGGUAAGAAUCCAGGCAACAGAUUUUCUGGAGAAUUAAGAGGAGAUGCAGGAAGAUGAGAGACAGACAGGACAGGAAAAUAGUUCAAUAAAAACAAGAAAACAAAACAAAGUGUUGAAAAGUAAAAUGUAGGUAGAUUUACCUCCACUACACGUUUUUACCAGUAAAAAACAAUAAGUUAUACACAUGUAAUAUUUAUACAUCUGAUACAAUUCAGAUCACCUUCAAAACUCAGUCACACACCCAGGGCCGUUUCAAGACAUUUUGGGGGCCAAGGCAAAAUGCGAUCCCCCCCCCCCCCCCCUCCAAUAACUGGGCUCCCCAGAAGCCUCUGUGUAAUCCAUGCCCUCUCCAGUAGUAUUAGUUAUACGGUGUUUAUAAAAGCCCCUCAGACAUUACUGACAUGUUCUAAUAUUAUCAGAUGAAAAACUAAAUUAUCAGACAUGCUGUCUCCUCUGCUUCUUUUAUAAACUUGCAAAAAGUAACAAAACCAUUUGAAAGCCACUAUUUGUGGAUUCUCUGAAAGUUUCCAUGGAGUGUGUGACAACUUAUUUUUUCAUUGAUCCUAUCGUCUAAUCUCACAGCUGAAACGAGCAUCCUUAAUAAUCUGUGCACAGGAAGCUUACCGAUGCUGUAGUAAAACAAAAGGUAUAAUAAUUUAUUAUUAAUAAAACCUUGUUGCAGCACUAAAGCAGAAAAAUUAGAUUUUGCAUUAAAUAUGCAAAAUAUUUACAUAUGAAUUGUUUUAGAGCCCUUUUAUUGGCAGAAUCUGAUAUUAAUUUAGUUCUUACAAAAAAUGGGUCCCAACAUGGUUUGUGUGGCGUUGCCAUAGUGUGACGUCAUAGGCACAGAUCCCCUGUCCUCUUGUUUGGAAAUGGAAAUAUGGUCACCCUACAUUACACAAACUGUCCACCCGGGCUUUUGCGCUGCACAGAGACGCUUCGCUGCCUACGACUUUGAACGUCAGUUGAGAGUCAGUCUCAUGCAGACUGACCAAUGAAGAGAGGGCCUCAAGUUAAGACCCUCUCCUCAUUGGUCAGUCCACACGAGGUGGGUCAAAGGUUACUCUGGGCGGGUUACGUGUUGUCAGGCAUUCAAGUAUUGAGUAUAUUUACUGCAUAUUACAGUAAAAUAUUCUGUAUGUGACCACAUUAUGGUGAUCCUUGGGUCGUGAUGAUGGAGCCCUUGAAUAUUGUUGCCCAGGGUACAACAAAGUGUUAAUCUGGCCCUGGUUCCGCCGUCACAUUCCCGCAGAAACUGGUUGAUCACACCGGGGCCAGACUACUAGCAUGUGGUUUUACAACCACAAUGUCCUCAGAAGCAAAAACGCUUUUAAAAGGGAGGGAGGAGUCCUAACUGUUGCUGCAGGCGUGUUGUGUGAGAGUGCAGUUAUAUACUGGUUAAUAUAUUUUUGGGUUCAGUUGCUUUCAUGUGGCCUAAUGUGAGUCUAUUUGGGAUCAUUGGAAUGAUCAGCAGCAUUUCUUGAUGUGACUUUAUGGCAGUUGCCCAGGGCAUCAUCGCAAGGAGGAUGGCAUUCAUUUACUUUUGUUUUAUUUGGUAUUUUUUCAGUCAUUUUUGGAAAUAGUGAUCAAUUUUGAUUAAUUCACAGCCUAUGUUUAAUUACAUUUAAAAUAAAUGUCAACAGAUGAGAUCAAACAAAACAGAUGAGAAUUGCCCUUAAGCUGUUUAACUUGGACCAAGCAUUUUAGGUCACAGAUAGAUGUAGCUUAGGGUCUCUGUCUAUGCACCUUAUAAGACAAUUUAGGUGAUGGCAUGUUGUUUUUCUGCUAUUGAACUGUUUUCUAAUAAUGUUGUGUUAAAUAAAGUGAAGGAAGGAGAGAAAUAACGUUUCCCUAGCAGUUUUUAAAAAUUUCCCCAUGUAAUCCGAUUAAUCGAUUAAUCGUGUCGAGACCCCAUCCGAUUAAUCGAUUAUCCAAAUAAUCGUUUGUUGCAGCCCUACUACACAGGCCAACAGCAGUAAUCAAAGCAAACAAAGACCGACACUGGCAGUGGUUGAGCAUCUUAAAAAGUGACUGAAAAUAGGAUUUUAACUGUAAAAUAGUCCUUAGUUUAGUUCUGUUUCUCAUGCGGUACAACAACGUGUUACAAUAGAGAAGGAUAUGAAUAUGUCCCCAUUUCUUCAGUCUAGUCCUUGGUGUCGACCAAAGCAGCAGUUUCGCUUUCCUGUCUGGUACCACCUGGUUCUGCUCCAGGUUUGGACCUGCGCCGUGACGAGUAGCUGCACUCCACCACAUGCUCCUCGGGAUGUGUCUAGUUUGUCUGCAGCUGCUGAAGGAAGGAGAUAAGCUGCUUGGUCUCUGGGUCUGGCUGAUGGUAAAGCAUCAGUCUGAGCCUCACCCUGGUGCUUUAUUCUGCUCCAUUUCACACAGCCUGGUUUUAUCCUGUGUGACAUGAUCACACACACACACACACACACACACACACACACACACACACACACACACACACACACACAUGCACACAGACACAUGUGUAUCUUGCAACAGAAAUCUUGGUAAUACAGUCUUGACUGCAUCAUAUAAUAACUUGGGAGUCUGUUUCUCCUGUUUUAUUUUCAUAUCAGAUGAUUUGAUGAGGAUUUGAAAAAUAAAGAUCCAGAGGAUUGAAGAUACAGCUGUCAAAGUCACCAUUUCUAGUGGUUCUUCAGCCAUACUGAAGUCUCUUCUGUUCUUCUAAAUAACAGGCGUUGCAACUGACAAACAUUUGUAAAUAGCAGGAAUGACGCAAGAAAACACAUCGUACACAAGAAAUUAGUUCAUCACAACAACAUCUGUACAAAGUUUCAGCUCAGCAGUUGUUUGAGAUUUAUGUAACAUCUACCAAGUUCAGAUGUGUUGGUGUCUGCAGAUACAAACCCACUAGCAACUUCUUUAGUAGCCGCCAGCUGGGGUGACAAUUUAUAGAAACAUGGAUUUGUACGACGGGCGCUUUGAUGUAAGGUUUGUCAUCAGCUGCCCUCCGUCAGACAGUGAAGCAAACUUCAGGUGGUCCUGCAGUGUGUGUGUGUGUGCGUGUGUGUGCGUGUGUGUGUGUGUGUGUGCAUGUGUUGUGGAUGAUCUUCUAUUUUAACCCUCUUCUGUGUUAAUCCUAUAGGUCUCUCUUGGCUUUCCAGCAGCUGCUGCUCUCUUGUUCUUGGGCCAGUUCAGUACCUGCUGGCCUCCAACCAGACUAAACACCGGACAUGUUUUGGAAAAAGACAACAGUUUUUUUCGUUACACUCAAUCACCUGCAUCUUUAAACAGGACAAGUACGCAGCAGCACUAAUACAACGUAACCUGACCCAAUCUUCAAAUCAAUCAGUUUAUAUAGUGUAAAAUCAUGACGAGUCGUCUCAAGGGACUUCACAAAGUAAAAAAUUCCACAAUCUUCAUACUAAACAAGCAUGAAGCGACAGUGGAGAGGAAAACUCCCUUUUAGCAGGAAGAAACCUCCAACAGAACCUGGCUCAGUGUAAGCAGCCAUCUGCCACGACUCACUGGGGAUUAGAGAAGACCAUUCAAAGAUCAACAUCACCAUCUGUCCACACCAGGCCCCCCAAUGCAGCUGAAAAAUUGAAGCAAUCUCGGAAGUACCAAAAAUUGCAGUUCCACCCUCAUCCGCUGGGGGCUGGUGUUAGAAGCGAGCAAAUCCUCUUUGACUCCCAUGUUAAAAAUACCAAUUUCACAGCAGAAAUGAACAUGUUUACAGCCUGGUACCAAAACAUGUUUUUGGUUUAAAUUAUCUAGUUUACACUCAUGACAACUCUGAGGGGGCUGAAUUUUUUUCUCACUCUGUUCAAGUGUAUUAAAAGCCUAAACUUCUGUAUAAUUAAUGAGCAUCAGACCCACGUGACCACAGAGCUAGCUCCGUGGAAAGGCCUCAGUAGAGCCUCGGUCUGGCCUGGAAACUGUUCCGGGAUUUUGAGUCUCUGUGUUUGUGUAUUCUUGUUUGGAUAUUUUUUGUGCAAUUGUUGGACAAAAUGACUUGCUUUGGCAUUAAUUGCACGAAUAAAGCGUCCAAGGAGUCUCCACUUCAUUUUUUUCAGUAAGUAAAAUUAUAUUUAUGUAUUUUAGGUCACUGCCGAGCUGAGCUUAGAUUUUAACAUGUACUGUUUAACCAUGCCAUUUAAAUGUAAUAGGGUAAAACCCAGUGCAUUUCACAUGAUGCUGCACUUUAGAAAAUGGGUUGAAAUAUGACAUGUUGGUGGAGCUGGGUUCCCACUAUCGGCUUGUGGAGAUCUUCUCCCCUCCCCGCAGCUCGGCACAUCUCUGUCUGAUCGCGGCUUCUGUCUGCUGCGCGGGCUGCCAGCUUGUGGAGCUCUGGGAUGGAAAGCUCUGGGAUGGAAACCUUUCCACCUGGUUCUCCCAAGCGGCAGCUCUGCACAUCUCAGAUCGCAGCGGUGCUUGUCUGCUGUGCGGCUGCCGGCUUGUGAAGCUCUCGGGAGACCUCUGUGUUCCACCCGGUUUCACCCAGCAGGCAACCCAGUGUAUCUCUGACUCAGAAGCUCUGGUGUUGUGCACAGUUAACUCCGGUUGUAGCUAGGUUGCUACCUCCGUUAGCUUAGCUCCCACCUCCAUGUUAGCUUUGGGUUAGCUUCAGGUUAGCUUGUAGCUAGUUCGACCGGGUGUCGUCAGUUGAUCCCAGCCUUACAGCCCCACCCUCAGCUCCACCUCUCUUCCCUUUUGUGGAAUUGUCUGGGCUUGACGGAACCUGUGACACGGUCAAAAUGGCGGUGGUGGCCACCUCCCAUUUUAGCACAAAAACUUAUUAUUGGAGUGUAUGGUAACCCAUUGUCCAAUAUUUAUAUGUCGAUGGUCCACACACACACACACACACACACACACACACACACACACACACACACACACACACACACACACACACACACACACACACACCAGCUAACAGUAAACCUGAAUACUUUUUCUUAGUGGUGUUUUUGACAAUUAUCAAGAAAUUAUUCUAGUCAAUUUUAUGUAUAAAGUAUUUCUAUACUCUGUCACGGUGAGUGUUGGUUUUGGACCCAUAUGCAGGUGAGUGAAGUUCUAAGGCAGCAAACUACUUAAAUCCAUUUAUUGCAGGGACUUGGGAGUGCAGGAACAACAGGAACAGAAGCACGUUCACAUGGGGAGACAUAAGACGAGGUCAACAGACAUACCGACAACACACAAGCAACACACAAGGCUUAUAUACAUACUGGGAUGGGUAAUCGGGUAACACGAGGCAGGUGGACACAAUUAAGGUAAAACCCAAGGCACAGGGGAGCAAUAAUGUGACAAUCUCUCGACUGGGAAACAAGAGUGUUGGACACACAAGCAUUUGUUUGCAAUGGUUUUAAACUGUGGUACUUAUGUUCAUGUUUUAUGUUCAGCGACCUUGAGCGUCUUGAAAGGCACUUACAAAUACAAUGUAUUAUUAUUUAUUAUUAUUUCAGCUUCAGCUCGCUCCUCUGUUGUUCCUACUGGGUCUGAAUGUUUUACUGUCAGUGUUUACCGGUUCUUCUUUUAAGUUUGCUUCGAACCAGAAAUACUCCCAAACUGCAGAAGUUGUGUUGUUUUUAGACACCAAGUCAACUGGUGCGUGAGCUGCCAUUUUUCUCUUGGCACAUCAUCUCUGCGCUGUCAUGUGAUGACAUCACGUUCAUAAACUUUAUGGAAUGUCUCGAAAUUUUGGACAAAACAUUUAAACUAUUUAAGCAAAACUGAAAAUGUUACCACACAUCUGUUUUAGUAAGUAAGUAAAGUAAGUACAUUUUAUUUAUAUAGCACUUAUCACAGACAUAGAAUCACAAAGUGCUUCACAUAGAUCAAAACAAAAUAAAACAAAGUCAUAAAAUCAUAAAUAAACAUCAUAAAAUCAAAAUGCUCUCAAAAAAGAAUUAGAUUAACAUCAGAAAAAAUAAAGUCAUCAAAUUAUAAAAUUUCAUAAACAGAUGAAAGAUUAAAAAUUUGAGUUCAAAAUAAGAAAAUAAAGGGUUUAGGUAAUAGCAGCUUUAAAUAAAAGGGUCUUUAGCUGUUUAUUAAGUGUCCGGACGUCAACGCUGCGUAAGGAUAAAGGAAGAUCAUUCCAGAGUUGGGGUGCAACAGUCUGGAAGGAGCGAUCACCUCCACUUUUGUAUCUGGUCUUUGGAAAUUCUAGAAUGUUCUGGUGGGUGGACCUGAGGGCUCGAGUUGGAGCAUAAGGCUUUAACAGUUCAGUAAUAUAGCGUUUGGUUGAGAUUUAUGUAACAAUAUUAAAUUACUUUAAUAUAUCUUUUUUAUUUAAUCCUCGUCUCCUACGUGCACUGUUGUUUUCAUGAUGGUAUUGGAAUGGAUACCGUUGUUAUUUUUUCCAACACCGGCUGUAUACGGUAAUACCGCCCAAGGCUAGAUGAGAGCAAUGCACAUCAACAACUGAGCAACACAUAAAACUAGUUCAAACGUAAGGGCAGAUAUAACAACACAUUAAAAGAAAAAAGAUCAAGUAGAAUAUGCACGCCUGAAUAAAUGAGUUUUAAGUACCAAUUUGAAAGUUUGGGUAGAUGAAGCUACGAAUACCUAGAGGAAGUUUGUUCCAAAGCUGCUGUGCCGCUGAACCAAAUGACCUGUGUCCCAUGGUGGACAGACGGUGCAUGGAACUGUGAGGAGACAGAGGAAGAACGAAAAGUGAGAGAUAGCAGCCUUCUGUUUUGAGCCUGUUAUUAAAAAAAGACGAUAACGCACUUUUCUGGUGGAAAAUGUGCUGCCAGUCUUCGCCAGAUGUCGCGACUAGCCCCAAAGUGCCCUUGUGUCUGUGCCAGAAGCUCAUCAAAGCGGGUCCACAACGUCCGUUGAAGCUGGAAAAGGUAAACAUCCUGGUUUUUCUGGCAAAAAAUCUUUUUACAAGCUGCAUUAUUUUUUAAAGUUCAUAUUAUGUGUAUGUUGUUAUUGUUUUAGUGUUUGUUAUUCAGAUUCUGAAUGGUGAAGGUCCAAACCAACAGCUUGGUAAUUCAACUUGAGGCUUAUGUCAUUAUUUUAAAGUUGGUCUUGUUAAUAUCAUACACCAGGGAUUCCCAAAGUGUGGUGCGCGCAACCCUGGGGGUGCGCGAGCUGCCGCUAGGGGGUGCGCGAGGUGAAAAGUGUGAUGGCUGCGGAGCUCAGAGAAGUCUGUCAUAUGUCACCAUUAGCGUAGCAAGAAACUCAUUUGUGGGUGGGCCAAAGAGAAAGUAAGUGGGCACAAUAAAUGUAAUUGAAAACAAGUAUAUUUUUGCGCGCGCGCGUAUCCUCCGCAUGUGCCCUAGCUUCAUAAUAACAAUGCACCGAGCUUCAGCACUCUGGCCUGCGCACGCCGAUAUGCUCCGUAUUUGAUCAUUUUUAACGGUGUUGGAGGAAUCUGAAGGUGAGUCAUUCUGGCAGAUUGUAAUUAACACCUGUCUCAUGCAGGUGUUCUGACAUUGUAAACCUCACACACAGGACAUUGUGGAUGUAACAAAAUAACAAGAAAUGAUUCCCAUUCAGGCUAUUGACAGCGUGCUGACGAUCUGAAGUUCAGAGUGCGUCUGUCAGAGGUCAGACGCGUUCCGGCUGAACCACGGCUCACGGGUGCACAUGUGAGCACAUCUGGGCUGGGCAGAAGUCAUUUUACAACAUUGGUUUAAAUAGCGCGAGACGCGGUAACUUGAGCGGCUGUGCCGCGCGCGCGCACACACACAGAUUCAAUAAGCGCACACGCUGCUUUAACUCCGGCCCGCUGUCAGACUGAAGGCAGAAAUGAACGCUGCCUCCACCGUGAUAAAAACUUUUAAGAGGUUAUUUUUCAUUCAAGGUCAAAUUAAGAUAUUAGCUUCUGGGAUGAGUCGGGUCCGCUCCAGCCAGUGACUCCUCAUGAACCUGACCACAAGUCCUGUUACUGCAGCAUUUGAUAUUCCAGUCCGCAUGACAGCGGAUCGCAGAUUGAGCCACACCAUAAAACAGCAAUAAGUCUGUCUGAGGUAAAAGUGAACAUCAUGGCUAUAUCUUGUCCCCUAUAGACAUUUGAUUACGCACAAGUAGGUGAUCAGCUCAGGUUUACGCAGAGCAGAAGGAAGGAGAGCGCUCUGGCCGCACAGGUUAAACGUUAGGGAUGCACCGAUCAGGUUUUUUGCUGCCGAUCACCGAUACCGAUAUCAAAGAAUGCUGAUCACCGAUACCGAUCACGUUCAUUGGCCAGAAAUUUUCUACAACAUUAUAAUGAGUGCUACAAACUACAUAAUCUGGGAAUAAAGGAAAUGUAACCUAAUCUAAAAUGGUCUGUAUGACCCCCAAAUUCCACUACCUCCGCUCCGGUCCGCCCCCGCCCUCAGCAGCCGCUCGCUUCCGAACUCAAUUUUUACUGGUACCUGCUCUACAACGGCUCCGCUCCGGUGCGGAGACCUGAGGGGGGCAAACAAGCAUGCACAGGAUUUUCGAGAUCUUGCGAUACAGUCCGAGCAGUAAACGCGGAAGUUAGAUCCAAACACCCGUUGUGUGGGAGAAACAUCGGCAUGAACUGUUUAAUCUGCCCAUCAUUUGUGUUGAGAGAUCAGCAGUGAUUGGAUCAACAAAGUGUGACUACUUUGAUAGUGGAAACUGUAUUUAUGGCUUACUUUUGUGCAUUUAAACUUCAGCCGCCACUGAUAGUUGUUAAAAGUUGUUAAACCUGUGCA